rnacentral:tRNA from 1 species
GCGGGUAUGGCGGAAUAGGCAGACGCGUUAGAUUCAGGUUCUAAUGAUCGCAAGGUCGUGGAGGUUCAAGUCCUCUUACCCGCACCA